GAAAAGUUAUAUUCUUUUCCUUUUUCAAAAACUUUUUUUUUAUUUUGACACAGGCAAUUUUAUAUGAUGACAAAGGAGCUUGCUUGGAAAGUCUAUUUCUGAAAUGUCUUGAGGUGAAACCUGGAGAUGACUUAGAAAGUGAUCGAUACUUAAUCACUGUUGAGGAGGUAAAGGUUGCUGGAAGCCUAGCUGCUAAGCAGGAAGUCGUUAGAGAAGCGCCACCUUGGAGUUCUAGGAGUUUUGCUGGCCGUUUCCGGGGGUGUCAGCCCCCUGGCUUAAAGCGGAAAUAUACUGGUUUUCAAGGACCACGUCAAGUGCCAAAGAAAAUGGUUGUUACGGAAAAUGGAGACUGGCCUGCGUCCUUUGAGGCUGGCGCUACUUUGUUUUCUCCAUCCUGCAGCAGCCUGCCUCUGUUUCCUACUGUGGGCAGGAAGGAAAUGAGUAACAUGCAGACAGUCCCCCACAGCGCCAUCGCUGCCCAGGCUGGAGCGAGCCAGGGCCCCUGCCCUUCCACUUCCUUGGAACCGAGCCCCAGAGUGCCAUGGGAAGCAGGCACCUCUCUGGGCUCUGGACGGCGGUGUGAAGACGCUGUGCUGGCCACAGAGCCCAGCAGACAACACAGCCCAGCGUCGCACUGCCCUGGAGCCCCACAGCAGCAUGUCCGAAGCCAAGCACAGAUCUUAGCUCUCCUGAAGUCCACACCAACAACCAUACCUGAGCUUCGGGAUGCUGAGCCGGUGGGACACCCAGGGCAGCUAUGGACUCCAGCUGUGUGCGGAGCUGGCCUGGAAGGGCACACUGAGGCACUGGGCGCAGAGCGGCCCCACAGCCCGAGGCAGCUGGAGACUGCUGCAGCCAGCCGGAGCCGCUGGGCAGUGUAUUUAUCCCCGCAAGACUCCGAGGCAGCUUCUGCCAGUGGUGCCGGUGGUGGGGAGAGGCAGGCGGCAGAGCAGGAAAAUGACGCAUGUUUGAAUCUCGAAGACCUUUUGGAACAGAAAAGAAUGCAGGCCUUUGGAACACAUGCUGAAAUUGGCAAGAAGCAUCGUGAAGACGAGCUGGGGGACAGGAGCGCGAGCUGGCAUCAGGCUCCCAAAAAAGAACCUUUGUUAGGCGGCAGUGCACUGGUAUGCUGCAGCAGUGCAGGGCAGGGUGGGCUGCUUGCAGAAACCACUGUUGGUGGAAAUGACAAAGUACCUUUCAGUGGACAGGACCAGGGGUGCAUGGGUGGCCCCCCAGGACAGGACCUUCACUGCGCAGCACAGUCUCCUACAGCCUCGGGAUGUCAGGUGUCUUCUCUGAGUCAGGAUUCUAACACCCUGGACGACGAUGUGGAACCAGUUUCUGAAAAUGGCACUGCCAAUGAGAGACAGGGUGGUGUCCUGGGAUCCGGAGGGAAUGGGACACAGCCGUUUUUGGAGGUAACCUUUAACCUGAGCAAUUUUGAGACAAGUGACUCGGAGGAGGAAUCACAGGAAAGCAGUGGCCUUUCCCAGGGUGCAGGGACCUGGGCAAAGGGCAGUUCCUAUGUUCAAAAGCCACAUGAGGGUUUAGGCUGUCAAGAAAUUAGCAGUGAACGUUUGCCAUGCUUACCCUCUGUGGGUCACGGGUGGACAGAGAAAUGUUCUGUUAAAGAGACGCUGUCGCAGUUUUGUGAUAAAACUUGUAUAGGUAUUGACCCAGGACCUUGUGAAGAUGGGAACGCUGGAGAAGAGGACGAUAGCGACCUGGCCAGCAGUUCCAGCCCUUCGGUGGCAGGGUGUGCUGGUGAAUCUGUGGAGGACGUGGAGGACACUGACAGGUCUUGCCAGACCAUCACACGUCCCUCUGAUUUUGCCUCACUCUCAAAUAAAUCUAAAGGAACAGGUGCAGAUUUACAUACUCCUGACCUUUUAGACAUAGCUACUAACCAGGCUUCUAAAAACAAUGACUUACUUUCCCAUCAACAACCUUGGUCUUUCGUUUUGGGAAGUGUCUUAGAUAAAGAUGCCAAGCAGGUUUCCUCGCCCAUUUCUGGCCAUGACAGCAGUGUCCGGACGUUUGAUGGUCUUCGGGGUCAGUCAAAACAUGCUGCACUUGGUGAGUCCCAUUCCCAGGCUUGCAGCUCUUUGCUUGCCCUUUGGGAAGCAAAGCAGCCUCUUUACCAAGACACUGAAGUGUGUAUUCCUGAAUGCGACGACUCGAGGAGUUCUCGUGUACCCCGUGACUGUGGCCAUAUUGAAGUGGAACCUGCCAGAAACAGCAGCUCGUCCUGGAGUAAUCCUGGCGACUCGUUGGAGCUCUCUGGAGUAGUCAGUCACAUUUCCCCUUUGAAGUCUCUGUCUGCACACAGCACUGCUUUAGAAAUCGUGGAAAUGCUGCCAAGGCAGGAUGCGGCCUUCACACCGCCAGGAACACUGCAGGCAGAAGAGCCAGAGAGCCAAGCUGAAGCUAGGAAACCGUGUAUUAGGAUACCAUUUAUUCCUCACCUGAAGCAGGGUUCUCAACAGAUACUAGAAGACAAUGAAGUUGAACCAAGUAACCCUCUUCAGACUCCACAGGUGAGUUACUCUAUUUGUAUAGCAGAGAUGAGGUAUAUUUUAAGUUUGUGUUAUGUAUUGUGUUUUCAAGUUCAUUUGCAGUGAUUACUCUUUAUUCAUUUAGAUGCACCUGGUGUCUUUGGUGUAAAUGUUU
ensembl:lincRNA